rnacentral:rRNA from 1 species
AUUGAACGCUGGCGGCAUGCCUAACACAUGCAAGUCGAGCGAUCGGCGGACGGGUGUGUAAUGUAUGUGGAUCUGCCCGAUAGAGGGGGAUAAUUACUGGAAACGGUGGCUAAUCCCGCAUACUUUCGGUUGAACCCAUAUGUGCUUAGCUGGUAGGUGGGGUCAAGGCUCACCUAGGCUACGAUCACUAGCUGGUCUGAGCGGAUGAUCAGCCACAGUGGGACUGAGACACGGCCCAGACUCCUACGGGAGGCGGCAGUGGGGAAUAGUGCGCAAUGGGCGAAAGCCUGAUGCAGCGACGCCGCGUAGGGGAUGAAGGCGUUCGGGUUGUAAACCUCUGUCGCUAUCGAACGGGUAGGUGGAGAAGAAGCGCCGGCUAACUACGUGCCAGCAGCCGCGGUAAUAC